rnacentral:rRNA from 1 species
AAGCGUGCGUAGGUGGUUGUUUAAGUCUGUUGUGAAAGCCCUGGGCUCAACCUGGGAACUGCAGUGGAAACUGGACAACUAGACUGUGGUAGAGGGUAGCGGAAUUCCCGGUGUAGCAGUGAAAUGCGUAGAGAUCGGGAGGAACAUCCAUGGCGAAGGCAGCUACCUGGACCAACACUGACACUGAGGCACGAAAGCGUGGGGAGCAAACAGGA